GAGUUGAGUCGGGAGGAAGUAGAGAAGUGACGUUGUUGGCAGUGGCAGCCGAGGAGGGAAACCUAUAUAGAUCAUAUGACCAAUGAUGAUGGAAGAGGAUCGGAGUCACACAACUGAGAGGAUACUAAGCCUCACCCUGGAGAUCAUCUAUCUGCUGACCGGAGAGAGAUUUCCUCUUGUGAAGUCCGGUGAUCAUAUGACCAU